rnacentral:rRNA from 1 species
AGUGAACGCUGGCGGUGGGCCUAACACAUGCAAGUCGAACGGCAGCACAGUAAGAGCUUGCUCUUACGGGUGGCGAGUGGCGGACGGGUGAGGAAUACAUCGGAAUCUACUUUUUCGUGGGGGAUAACGUAGGGAAACUUACGCUAAUACCGCAUACGACCUACGGGUGAAAGCAGGGGAUCUUCGGACCUUGCGCGAUUGAAUGAGCCGAUGUCGGAUUAGCUAGUUGGCGGGGUAAAGGCCCACCAAGGCGACGAUCCGUAGCUGGUCUGAGAGGAUGAUCAGCCACACUGGAACUGAGACACGGUCCAGACUCCUACGGGAGGCAGCAGUGGGGAAUAUUGGACAAUGGGCGCAAGCCUGAUCCGGCCAUACCGCGUGGGUGAAGAAGGCCUUCGGGUUGUAAAGCCCUUUUGUUGGGAAAGAAAAGCAGCAGGUUAAUACCCCGCUGUUCUGACGGUACCCAAAGAAUAAGCACCGGCUAACUUCG